UACAAUGUUUUAACUCUUCAUUUUAUUUAAAAUUAUUUUGCAAUUAAUAUUUUUAUUCUUACUAGAUAAUAAAACAUGAAUAGUAGUUUUAUGUAACUAUUUUUUUAAAUUUUUAUACAAAUUUUUUAAAUAAGACGAAUGGUCAAAGGGGUUGGACACCAAAAUCGA
rnacentral:pre_miRNA from 1 species